GCCAAUUUUGGGCUGGCUUCAUUUUUUAAAUGUUAGCCUUUGCCCAUAUUCUUGGCAGGAAAUUAUUUCUGUGUUUUCCAUACAUGGAAGAAGAUGUUGAGAAACUGGCUUCUCUCCCCUGGAAGUUUUCCCUGUUUAGAUGAGCGGAGGAGGCAGGAAGUAUCUCGUUUCGGGGGCUCAGAUUAAUUUCCUACUCAUGCCUGGUACCUGGCUGUGGAUGUUCUUAAUGGCUGUAGAUAUUUCAGGCUCAGCUAGUGAAAAGGAGGCUGGAAAGAAAAUUACCUGAAAAUGCAUUGUUUGCAUGAGUUGAAGAUAAAAAAAAAUUGUGGCUUUUAAAGCUGCAAUUUACUGUGACCUAGCCAAGCUAGGCAGUGGGUAGAGUAUAAAUUAUAGUCACCAGAUACCUGGUUUAUAGACAGAGGCUUAGGAUCCUACGUGGUGAGGGGUAAAAACAGACUGCUAUGAAGCGGAGUGACCUGGAGGUCGGACACAUUCUGUGGAACUACUUUGCCGCUUUUCGUCCUCAAAUAAAGGGUGAGAUGGUGAAGACGAAAGGACAGAAGUCUGGCUUUCAGGGGGAGAGGACAGCAAUGGCUGACAUGCUGGAAAAACCAAUGAGGGGCCCCAAAAGGAAGUGCUUCUCUAGCACUGACUGAAGGAACUGCCUGCGCGGUGUGGUCACUCCACUGAUCCUGGGAGAAGCACACGGCCACAUCUUUGAACGUUACCAGUCCCUGAAUCAACACAAGGAUUAAUCAGAAUGCGAUGCUUCUGGUAGACUCACAGUUUGUUCCGGGAUGAACCCUUAUGUACAAGCAGAAUCCAUCCAGGAGACAAAAGGAACCCUAACAGGCUACGAGGCUUCCUCUCAGGAGGCCGUGCCCCACGUGUCUCACUUCCCGACUUUCUGUCUCUGGGAAAGCACUGGCCCUUGUUCUGCCCCUCCAGCACCCUGGUUUCCCUGAGGGCAGGCCUGUAUUUUUUUUUCUUCAUUAAAAGAGUAUUAUUUAAAACUCAGGAAAGUUCAUCAUUCAACUAUUUGAUGUUUUAAUGGUACAUUCUUCUCUGCAAAAAUUGAUCUUUUCCUACAAGCUAUUCCUAAUUAACCCUAUCUAAUCAUCCUUUCACUUGGAUUCCGUAGCGUAAGACAUUUUCCUCAGCUAGAUGACAAUGUAAAACCAUGGAUGAAUCCUCUUUCCACCUUCUGCCACAUAGUUUAGCUUUAGGGCUCUGAACAUG